rnacentral:rRNA from 1 species
UAACAAGGAUUCCCCUAGUAACGGCGAGUGAAGCGGGAAUAGCUCAAGCCCUUAAUCAGUAACGGUUUACCGUUGUUGAGUUGUAGCUUGAAGGUUGGCACUUUGACAGCGAAGCAGACAUAAGCCUUUUGAAUAAGGUGCCAGAGAGGGUGCAAGCCCCGUCUUUUGUCAGCAUCUCGUCUGUCAGUGUAAGAGUCAGCCAGCGAGUCGGGUUGUUUGGGAAUGCAGCCCUAACUGGGUGGUAAAUUUCAUCCAAAGCUAAAUAUCAGCCAGAGACCGAUAGUGAACAAGUACCGUGAGGGAAAGAUGAAAAGCACUCUGGAGAGAGAGUGAAAUAGUACGUGAAAUCGCUGCAAGGGAACCGCUUGCUCAUCUCAAGUCACUACUUUUAUAGCUGUGACGGCCAGCACCAGUUUGAACUCCCAAACGGCCAGGAUUAGAAGGUAGGUAGAACUUUUGUUUUGCUGUUAUAGCUUUUCCGAUGGUUCUAUGGGGGUUUGGACUGAGGCAUACCAGCAGUACGUGCUUCCCUCGGGAGGCGGCCCAACAUGCCUGCUCUUUGUGGACACUCUUCAGACAGCAUGCUGACUGUAGGUGAAAUUUCUUGCAACGACUCGGGUGUGAUUGGGACUUAUUAGUACUACGGGUGCUGNCUUAAGAUAUGA